rnacentral:rRNA from 1 species
UGAGGAACAUGACCUUCGGCGGGGGAUAGCCGGCCCAACGGCCGGGUAAUACCGCGUACGACCACAUGGGGACAUCCCUGAGUGGUGAAAGCAGCAAUGCGCCGAUGGAGUGCCUCGCGGCCUAUCAGCUAGUUGGUGAGGUAACGGCUCACCAAGGCGACGACGGGUAGCUGGUCUGAGAGGAUGGCCAGCCACAGUUGGGACUGAGACACGGCCCAGACCUCUACGGGGA